rnacentral:rRNA from 1 species
AGAGUUUGAUUCCCUGGCUCAGGACGAACGCUGGCGGCAUGCCUAACACAUGCAAGUCGAACGGGGAAUUAUAAAUGAAAGCUUCGAAUGCUUUUGAUAAAACCCUAGUGGCGGACGGGUGAGUAACGCGUGGAUAAUCUGCCUAACAGCCUGGGAUAACUCCGGGAAACCGGAGCUAAUACCGGAUACAGACUUCCAGAACGCAUGGUGAGGAAGUUGAAAAGUUAUUCGCUGAUAGAUGAAUCCGCGUUCCAUUAGCUGGUUGGUGGGGUAAAGGCCUACCAAGGCGACGAUGGGUAGCCGGCCUGAGAGGGUGAACGGCCACAUUGGGACUGAGACACGGCCCAGACUCCUACGGGAGGCAGCAGUGGGGAAUAUUCCGCAAUGGGGGAAACCCUGACGGAGCAAUGCCGCGUGAGGGAAGAAGGCCUUCGGGUUGUAAACCUUUGUUUUAUGGGAAGAAGAAGUGACGGUACCAUAAGAGGAA